AUUUAUGUACCUUGCUUGCAAUCGUCUCCUCCAUUUUCACACAAACAGUCUCCAGUAAAUCGGUCACAGAGGACGUUGGCUGGACAGGAGCAGGUCUGAGCACAGAACGGACCGAAGCGUCCUGAACUGCAGGCUGGAAAACACAACAUAUAUAUCACAGCUGUGCAGAAACAAGUCCCAUCGACCGGUGAGCAGUCGACAAAGUUCUUACAAGAGCACUCCAGGGAGCAGUUCUUUCCAUAGGUGCCACUUUUACAGGGACUCUCACAGUGAACGCCCUGCAGGCAAGAACAGCAAACCCCAGAUUCCACAGCCCCCAGGUAGCUAAAGUUGAGGCCUCUGUGAAGCAGGAGAACCAGCUAAAUAGAGACGCUUGUUCUUUAUGGACUCAAGUAGCAGUGAAGAGACAGCAUGAGGACUUAAAAAUUACUAUACUUGGACAAGACUAAAAAGGUGAGCGUUGUGCUUUAUUGCAGGUAUGGAAUGUAUAUUUGUGCACUCACGGUGAAAACAAACCAGUAAUGCUGGACGGAAAUGCAGCGUUUUUUCAUUUUAAGCUCAUCAUCAUCAUGUCUAGAAGUUGUAAAGUGGUAAACUGCAGGUUUCAUAAUGGGGAUGGCAGCCACUGUGGCUCAGGAGAACAUUUAAUGUGUGAAAAACAUUUAGUAGCAGGUUUAGUGCUGCCUUGAAUUAAGCUUCACAGUUAGUUCAUAGACCAAACUUCAUUUUACCUGCCUGUAUAUUCACACAUGAUGAUUUAAUAUGACUGCAGAGUUACAGUUACUUUUCCACAUUCUACCAUAAUCCGUGCAGCUGUUCUGUUUGCAGCGUGUUAUCUGCAGCAUUGUGGCCAACAGGUUUUGCUUUUAGAUUUGUCAAAUUCCAAUUAUGACUGUUCUAAUUGAAUUAAACUGAAUUUAUAUUCAGUUCCAAAAGCAGUUGGGAUUAGCCACAGUUUGACCUAUUGAAAGAGGACAGUUUAAAAAUCUGAACGCAAAGUGGUCAAUUAUUUUCCAGAACUUGUCUUCUUUUUAGACUAGCCAUCUAAAAUACACACUUGGAUUUUUAUUUCACUUUGACAUUUAUGCAAAUUAGUGCACAAGGAAUAAGACAAUCUCUCAUUUGCAAAUAAAAUUCAACACACAUAUUCAUACAUAUAAUAAUUGUAUUAAUUAACUGGGGAAGUUGUAUUUUAAUUUAUUUGAGUUAAAAUAGUAUUUUUCAAUAAGUUAUGGAAUUCUACAACACAUCUUUGAAGGACCCGUAUGGGAAACAUCCAUCUUCUUGUUUUUUGGCCUGAAAAACUAAAACCGUGCAGACAUACGACAUUUGGAUUAACUUGCUGAAAAAAUGCACAAUAUGGGACCUUUAACGGCCAGUUUUCCCCCAAUCUGAGCAGAAAUUUCCACUUCCACAUCCCUUCCAUACACCAAACUCUUUGGCUCUACAGUUUUCUAAUGUCUGGGGAACAUGACUUGUAGGCUCCUGCAUCUCUGUAGCACCACCAUGUUUCAUCUAUAAUAGUCUGUUGUGACACAUUUAUCGAGAAACUGCCACCCUUGUGAUUUGGAUAUUGCACUAGGCCAUAUUUCAAUAUUGUUUAGAUUAAUUGUUCAGCCCUUGAUAAUACUUGCCAAUGUCUUUGGUGAACUUCUAAGCAGCGGAUGAGCUGACAUCAGUAUCUGAGUCUAUUUGGUUCUGCUCAGAGUGUUGGCACCCAAACCUGGAUUUAAUCUUCCUCCUGCUGCCCAAACCUCACUAUCUUCUUCUUCUCUGCUCACCUGAGUGUGUGUGUGUCCAGACAGAGACAUGUGCGUUCACAGUGCAUGCCGUAUUUUCCGGGUGA